CACCUACGGGUGGCAGCAGUAGGGAAUAUUGGACAAUGGGGGCAACCCUGAUCCAGCCAUGCCGCGUGAGUGAAGAAGGCCCUCGGGUUGUAAAGCUCUUUUGUCCGGAAAGAAAAGCAUCUGGUUAAUACCCGGGUGUUCUGACGGUACCGGAAGAAUAAGCACCGGCUAACUUCGUGCCAGCAGCCGCGGUAAUACGAAGGGUGCAAGCGUUACUCGGAAUUACUGGGCGUAAAGCGUGCGUAGGUGGUUCGUUAAGUCUGAUGUGAAAGCCCUGGGCUCAACCUGGGAAUGGCAUUGGAUACUGGCGGGCUAGAGUGCGGUAGAGGGUAGUGGAAUUCCCGGUGUAGCAGUGAAAUGCGUAGAGAUCGGGAGGAACAUCUGUGGCGAAGGCGACUGCCUGGACCAGCACUGACACUGAGGCACGAAAGCGUGGGGAGCAAACAGGAUUAGAUACCCUGGUAGUCCACGCCCUAAACGAUGCGAACUGGAUGUUGGGUUCAACUUGGAACUCAGUAUCGAAGCUAACGCGUU
rnacentral:rRNA from 1 species